rnacentral:rRNA from 1 species
UUAAGUUAGGAUCCAGGCAUAAUACAAAAAGUUGAGCAUAUGAUGCUUCUUGCACAAGAAAUAACAAUAGAACCUAAGAGUAAUGUUCACGCGUCGUGGAGUGAUCAGUGUGGCUGUCGUAGAGGAACAUAAAUGCCGCAUAGGUGCUUCGGGAAAAAGCAGGCAAGUGACAGUCCCGCUGUAUCGGAUGGCCGUAGGUGGGAAAACUUAUUGUGAGAGUUAAAUUGAUACAAUUUGAUGAACUGUAGCUGAUAAUAGGGCAUGAGCAGUAACCUAUCAGUAACUGGUGUGAGAACACGCCCACUCACCCGGGCACUGAGACGCGGGCCCGACUCCUACGGGAGGCAGCAGUAAGGAAUAUUGGUCAAUGGGGGAAACCCUGACGCAGCAACGCCGCGUGGAGGAUGAAGUCCCUUGGGACGUAAACUCCUUUCGACCAAGACGAUAAUGACGGUACUGGUGGAAGAAGCACCGGCUAACUCUGUGCCAGCAGCCGCGGUAAUAC